rnacentral:rRNA from 1 species
UACAGAGGUCUCGAGCGUUAGGCGGAAUCACUGGGCUUAAAGCGCGUGUAGGCGGAUCGUUAAGUACCUUGUGAAAUCCCACGGCUUAACCGUGGAACGGCUGGGUAUACUGGCGGUCUUGAGCCACCUAGGGGCCUGCGGAACAAGCGGUGGAGCGGUGAAAUGCGUAGAUAUCUAAGGGAACGCCUGUGGCGAAAGCGGGUGACUGGGCCUGUCCUGACGCUGAGACGCGAAAGCGUAGGGAGCAAACGGG